UCGGAUAUGGUGUAAUGGUUAACAUUACCGCCUCUCAUGAUCUGAUGAACGCGGUAGCUCGGGGUUCGAUUCCCCGUAUCCGAA